GAGCGUGCAACUCCCUAGUUGUGAGUGUGCACCCCAACCAUGCACAUGCCCCCACCCAUGAGCACCCCUUGCACACCUGUGAGUGUGCAACCCCCUCUCAGCCCCCCUCCUCCAAACCCCUGUCCCAUGGUGCCCAGCUGAGCCCUGUGUGUGCCCUCAUGUCCCACAGGUAUGAGCUAAUGAGGCCCUCGCACACUCACUUCCCCUUUUGUACUUACCCCCUUGCACACUCACCCCUUGCAUACUCCCCCAUGUACACUUAUGCCUUUUGUACACUUCCCCUUGUACUCACCUCUUGUGCACUCACUACCCUCUUGCACACUCAUCCCUUGCACACUUCCACCUUGCACCCCCUGCACACUCUCUUCCUCUUGCAGUCACCCCCUUGCACACUGUCUUUGCACAUUGAUCCCCUUGCAUACAUACACACCUCUCGCACACUACCCCUGGCAUACUUACCCCCUUGUGCACUCAACCUUUGGCACACUCCCCCAGCACACUCCCCCACUUUCACUCCCCCCCGGCACACUCACCCCUGGCACACUCCCUCCCCCAGACCGGGCAGGCGAGCGGCGUGACGUGUGCUGGCAGCGCCGGGGCGAGGACGGGAUGUGCGGGGGACCGCUGGGCGCUGGAGCCGUCACCUUCCACGAGUGCUGCUGCCGCCGCGCCCGCGCCUGGGGGCACCAGUGCAGACCUUGCCCCCCCCGUGGCCCCGGGCAGCAGUGCCAGUCGUCGCAGAGCGAGAGCAACUCCUUCUGGGAGAUCAGCCCCCUCUUCCUGGGCAAGGGCCGCAAGGCCCCCAGGCCAUGGGCAACCUUCACUUUUCUGGGCAGCGUCUGGCACGACAGGGCCUCGGUCCCGGCCGGGGGGGUGUUGUACAGCACCCGGCACCCCCCGAUCUCGGCCUGAGGGAGCGGGCAAAUGAGCGAACCUGUGCCUCUUUCUGCCCCGCAGCUGGGACAGUUCCUGCAAAGCAAGGUUUUCGGCUACAUCCUGUCCUGGGCCUGUCGGCGCUUCUUGGCUGAGCGCCUCUGCUAACACCAAUGUCCCUGCCAGCCCCCGAGGGCAUGGACAUCCCUCCUGCGCCAGCCUGGCCCCAGGGCGGCCCUGCCCCGCACUCCCCUCUUCCAGCAAUAAAGCCUUUAGCCCCACAGGGGCCCCUGAGUACGGUUUGGAUCUUGUUGGGGGACGGGGGGGUGGAAAAUGUUGCUGUCGCGGGCAACUUCGUGCACACCUGGACGCACCCGUCCAUCUGUCCGCCCGGCCGGGGCGGGGCCCCUCUGUCUAUCCGUGUGUCCCCUGGGUGCUUCCCUCGCUCCUCGGCUCUGCCUUGCCUCACGCCACC